rnacentral:rRNA from 1 species
GAUGAACGCUGGCGGCGUGCUUAACACAUGCAAGUCGAACGAAGCACUUUCUUAAGUUUACUUUUGAAAGUGACUGAGUGGCGGACGGGUGAGUAACGCGUGGGUAACCUGCCUCACACAGGGGGAUAACAGUUAGAAAUGGCUGCUAAUACCGCAUAAGCGCACAGUACCGCAUGGUACCGUGUGAAAAACUCCGGUGGUAUGAGAUGGACCCGCGUCUGAUUAGCUAGUUGGUAAGGUAACGGCUUACCAAGGCGACGAUCAGUAGCCGGCCUGAGAGGGUGAUCGGCCACAUUGGGACUGAGACACGGCCCAAACUCCUACGGGAGGCAGCAGUGGGAAUAUUGCACAAUGGGGGGAAACCCUGAUGCAGCAACGCCGCGUGAAGGAUGACGUA